UGGUUUACAUUUGCAGAGGUCAACAGGU
rnacentral:piRNA from 1 species